rnacentral:rRNA from 1 species
UACGGAGGAUGCGAGCGUUAUCCGGAUUUAUUGGGUUUAAAGGGUGCGUAGGCGGGCUGUUAAGUCAGCGGUCAAAUGUCGGGGCUCAACCCCGGCCUGCCGUUGAAACUGGCGGCCUCGAGUGGGCGAGAAGUAUGCGGAAUGCGUGGUGUAGCAGUGAAAUGCAUAGAUAUCACGCAGAACUCCGAUUGCGAAGGCAGCAUACCGGCGCCCGACUGACGCUGAGGCACGAAAGCGUGGGUAUCGAACAGG